rnacentral:rRNA from 1 species
UCCAAUCGAACUCGGAGAUAGCUGGUUCUCCUCGAAAUAGCUUUAGGGCUAGCCUCGAGCUGGAGUCUAACGGAGGUAAAGCACUGAACUGACGCGGGGCCCAAAAAGGUUACCAACUCAUAUCAAACUAAGAAUGCCGUCAAGAUACCCUCGGGAGUCAGUCUGCGUGAGAUAAGUCGCGUGGACAAAAGGGAAAGAGCCCAGACCGACAGCUAAGGUCCCAAAGUACGUGUUAAGUGGAAAAGGAUGUGGGAUUUCAUAGACAACUAGGAUGUUGGCUUAGAAGCAGCCAUACAUUUAAAGAGUGCGUAAUAGCUCACUAGUCGAGAAAACCUGCGCCGAAAAUGUAACGGGGCUAAAACACGACACCGAAGCUACGGAUUUCCUACUAGGUAGGAAGUGGUAGAGGAGCAUCCUGCAAGGACGAAGCCAAAGUGAGAGCGAUGGUGGACGAAACAGGAGAGAGAAUGCCGGAAUGAGUAGCGAGAUACAUGUGAGAAACAUGUAGGCCGAAUAUCUAAGGAUUCCUGGGUAAAGCUAAUCUUCCCAGGGUUAGUCGGGGCCUAAGGCGAGGACGAGAGUCGUAGUCGAUGGAUAACAGGUUGAUAUUCCUGUACUACACAUAAUCAGAACUGUGGGGACGCAGGAGGAUAGGGAAACCGGGGAAUGGAAAGACCCGGUCAAGCGCAAAGCUGUGGGAGAUAGGCAAAUCCGUCUCUUGUAAGUGAAGCGUGAUGAGGACUGAAAAAAAGUAAGGAAGUUUCCGAAUCCACACUGCCGAGAAAAGCCGCUAUUGCGUUAUGUGUACCCGUACCGUAAACCGACACAGGUAGAUGAGGAGAAAAUCCACAGGCCGACGGGAGAAGUGUUGUUAAGGAACUCGGCAAAAUGACCCCGUAACUUCGGGAUAAGGGGAGCCUCGCAAGAGGCCGCAGAAAAGAGGCACAAGCAACUGUUUAGCAAAAACAUAGGUCUAUGCGAAACCGUAAGGUGAAGUAUAUGGGCUGACGCCUGCCCGGUGCUGGAAGGUUAAAAGGAGAGGUCAGCGCAAGCGAAGCUUUGAAUUCAAGCCCCAGUAAACGGCGGCCGUAACUAUAACGGUCCUAAGGUAGCGAAAUUCCUUGUCAGGUAAGUUCUGACCCGCACGAAAGGCGUAAUGAUUUGUGCACUGUCUCGACAACACGCCCGGUGAAAUUGAAGAACCAGUGAAGAUACUGGUUACCCGCAACAGGACGGAAAGACCCCAUGGAGCUUUACUGCAGCCUGAUACUGGGAUUCGAUGAUAUAUGUACAGGAUAGGUGGGAGGCUAAGAAGCGAGAACGCUAGUUUUCGUGGAGCCGCCGGUGGGAUACCACUCUUAUGUCAUUGAAUUUCUAACCUGCAUCCGUAAUCCGGAUGAGGGACAAUGUCAGGCGGGCAGUUUGACUGGGGCGGUCGCCUCCUAAAAGGUAACGGAGGCGCUCGAAGGUCACCUCAGAAUGAUUGGAAACCAUUCAAAGAGUGUAAAGGCAAAAGGUGGCUUGACUGCGAGAGCGACGGCUCGAGCAGGUACGAAAGUAGGACUUAGUGAUCCGGUGGUAAUAAGUGGGAAUGCCAUCGCUCAACGGAUAAAAGCUACCCUGGGGAUAACAGGCUUAUCUCCCCCAA